rnacentral:rRNA from 1 species
UACGAAGGGGGCUAGCGUUGUUCGGAAUCACUGGGCGUAAAGCGCACGUAGGCGGAUUUUUAAGUCAGGGGUGAAAUCCCGAGGCUCAACCUCGGAACUGCCUUUGAUACUGGGGAUCUGGAGUCCGGGAGAGGUGAGCGGAACUGCGAGUGUAGAGGUGAAAUUCGUAGAUAUUCGCAAGAACACCAGUGGCGAAGGCGGCUCACUGGCCCGGAACUGACGCUGAGACGCGAAAGCGUGGGGAGCAAACAGG